rnacentral:lncRNA from 1 species
GAGACACAGCGGAGAUAGCGCGCCUGCUAAAGGCUGCCGCCGCCAACACCUUAGGUGAAUACCGAGCUCCAGGAAGGUCGCUGUGGGUAGGGCAUGUGGGAAACGAGGCCAGGGGGAGAAGGAGGCCUCAACGUGGCCAAAGCACCUUGAUGAUGCGCUCUGUCCCCGGAGGCGCGUUCCACGGCCGCUGCCGGCACCUAGGCAGAGGGAUACGUUCCAGAAACACCUCAGCUUAGCGCGGGGAUGGCCUUCUUGUGCGUGAGUCCCUCUGCACACGGGAACUGUGCGCCCUGGGCACUGCACCUUCCAGUAUGUGGGCCGGAGAGGCGGGGGAUCUUGCCCAGCGGGUCCGACAGGGCAUGGAAGGAAGUAAAUGGAAGCCGGUGACCUGGUCUUUCCCACAGUAUGUUGGCUGGGUACAAAGAGUGAAUGAAGAAUGACUGAGAGAAUGAGAGACAGAGAGAGCACAUGUGCCAGUCAGG